GAUGAAGAACGUAGCGAAAUGCGAUAAGUAAUGUGAAUUGCAGAAUUCAGUGAAUCAUCGAAUCUUUGAACGCAUCUUGCGCUCCUUGGUAUUCCUUGGAGCAUGCCUGUUUGAGUAUCAUGAGCAAAUCUCAAAGUCAAUUCCUUUUGUUGAUUCAAUUGGUUUUGCUUUGGACUUGGAGGCCUUGCAGAUUUCACAGUCUGCUCCUCUUAAAUGCAUUAGCUGGAUCUCAGUAAUUAUGCUUGGUUCCACUCGGCGUGAUAAGUAUCACUCGCUGAGGACACUGUUAAAAAGGUGGCCAGGAAAAUACUGAUUGAACCGCUUCUAACGGUCUAUUAAGUUAGACAAUUACCCUUAAGUUUGAUCUCAAAUCGGGUAGGACUACCCGCUGAACUUAAGCAUAUCAAUAAGCGGAGGA
rnacentral:misc_RNA from 1 species